GACGAACGCUGGCGGCAUGCCUAAUACAUGCAAGUAGAACGCUGAAGGAGGAGCUUGCUUCUCUGGAUGAGUUGCGAACGGGUGAGUAACGCGUAGGUAACCUGCCUGGUAGCGGGGGAUAACUAUUGGAAACGAUAGCUAAUACCGCAUAAGAGUAGAUGUUGCAUGACAUUUGCUUAAAAGGUGCAAUUGCAUCACUACCAGAUGGACCUGCGUUGUAUUAGCUAGUUGGUGGGGUAACGGCUUACCAAGGCGACGAUACAUAGCCGACCUGAGAGGGUGAUCGGCCACACUGGGACUGAGACACGGCCCAGACUCCUACGGGAGGCAGCAGUAGGGAAUCUUCGGCAAUGGACGGAAGUCUGACCGAGCAACGCCGCGUGAGUGAAGAAGGUUUUCGGAUCGUAAAGCUCUGUUGUAAGAGAAGAACGAGUGUGAGAGUGGAAAGUUCACACUGUGACGGUAUCUUACCAGAAAGGGACGGCUAACUACGUG
rnacentral:rRNA from 1 species